AUGCUCACUUUAGCAGUAUGUAUACUAAAUCAGAAUGAUUUAGAAAAGAUUACUAUGUUCCCUGUGCAAGAAUGACAUGUAAAUUCAUGAAGCGUUUCCUGUUUUC
ensembl:snRNA U6 U6 spliceosomal RNA